GAACCUGAAACCCUGCACUUACAAGCUGUGAAGCACAUUUCUUGUGUGACCGCGUACUUUUGUAGAACGGGCCAACGAGUUACGUUAAGUAGCAAGGUUAAGCACUUAAGGUGCGGAGCCGUAGCGAAAGCGAGUUUUAACUGAGCGUUCAGUUACUUGACGUAGACCCGAAACCGGGCGACCUACCCAUGAGCAGGAUGAAGCGAAAGUAAAAUUUCGUGGAGGUCCGAACCCACGAGCGUUGAAAAGCUCGGGGAUGACUUGUGGGUAGCGGUGAAAAUUCCAAUCGAGCCCGGAGAUAGCUGGUUCUCCCCGAAAUAGCUUUAGGGCUAGCCUCAAGGUGAGAGAUACGGAGGUAGAGCACUGAAUGUCCUAGGGGGUAUGCACCUACCGAAGACUAUCAAACUCCGAAUGCCGUCAUCUUAUACUUGGGAGUCAGACUGUGGGUGAUAAGAUUCAUAGUCCGAAAGGGCAACAGCCAGAUCGUCAGCUAAGGUCCCUAAAUGUAAGUUAAGUGGUAAAGGAUGUGGGAUUGCACAGACAACCAGGAUGUUGGCUUAGAAGCAGCCACUCAUUCAAAGAGUGCGUAAUAGCUCACUGGUCGAGUGAUCCUGCGCCGAAGAUUUCCGGGGCUAAAACUUACUACCGAAGCUACGGCAUCAGUAAUGAUGGGUAGGGGAGCUUCCCAUACGGGUUGAAGCAUGACCGUAAGGACAUGUGGACAGUAUGGGAGUGAGAAUGUUGGCAUGAGUAGCGAGAUGUGGGUGAGAAUCCCACAGGCCGUAAACCCAAGGUUUCCAGGGGAAGGUUCGUCCGCCCUGGGUUAGUCGGGACCUAAGCUGAGGCCGAAAGGCGUAGGUGAUGGACAACAGGUUGAUAUUCCUGUACUACCGAUAACCGUUUGAGAGAAGGGAUGACACAGUAGGAUAAGCUAAGCACACUGUUGGUUAUGUGUGCCCAAGCAUUGAGGCAGUCAAAGUAGGCAAAUCCGCUUUGAUAAUGCUGGGAUGUGAUGGGGAGCGAAAUUUAGUAGCGAAGUAGCUGAUUUCACACUGUCAAGAAAAGUCUCUAUCGAGGUUAAAGGUACCCGUACCGCAAACCGACACAGGUGGGUGAGGAGAGUAUCCUAAGGCCAGCGAGAGAACUGUUGUUAAGGAACUCGGCAAAAUGACCCCGUAACUUAGGGAUAAGGGGUGCCACCAUCAGGUGGCCGCAGAGAAUAGGCCCAAGCGACUGUUUACCAAAAACAUAGGUUUCUGCUAAGUCGCAAGACGAUGUAUAGGAGCUGACGCCUGCCCGGUGCUGGAAGGUUAAGGGGAUCUGUUAGAGCAAUCGAAGCAGUGAACUUAAGCCCCAGUAAACGGCGGCCGUAACUAUAACGGUCCUAAGGUAGCGAAAUUCCUUGUCGGGUAAGUUCCGACCCGCACGAAAGGCGUAACGAUUUGGGCACUGUCUCAACAACAGACUCGGUGAAAUUGUAAUUCCGGUGAAGAUGCCGGAUACCUGCGACAGGACGGAAAGACCCCAUGGAGCUUUACUGUAGCUUGACAUUGGGUCUUGGUACUACAUGUACAGGAUAGGUGGGAGGCUUUGAAACCAGGACGCCAGUUUUGGCGGAGCCAUCCUUGGGAUACCACCCUUGUAGUACUGGGACUCUAACCAUAGGCCAUGAAUCUGGUCUUGGGACACUGUCAGGUGGGCAGUUUGACUGGGGCGGUCGCCUCCCAAAAGGUAACGGAGGCGCUCAAAGGUUCUCUCAGUACGGUCGGAAAUCGUACGUAGAGUGUAAAGGCAAAAGAGAGCUUGAUUGCAAGACAUACAGGUCGAGCAAGGAUGAAAAUCGGACUUAGUGAUCCGGUGGUUCUGCGUGGAAGGGCCAUCGCUCAACGGAUAAAAGCUACCCUGGGGAUAACAGGCUUAUCUCCCCCAAGAGUCCACAUCGACGGGGAGGUUUGGCACCUCGAUGUCGGCUCAUCACAUCCUGGGGCUGUAGUAGGUCCCAAGGGUUGGGCUGUUCGCCCAUUAAAGUGGUACGCGAGCUGGGUUCAGAACGUCGUGAGACAGUUCGGUCCCUAUCCGUCGCAGGCGUAGGAAAUUUGAGAAGACCUGUCCUUAGUACGAGAGGACCGGGAUGGACGUACCUCUGGUGUACCAGUUGUUCUGCCAAGGGCAUGGCUGGGUAGCUAUGUACGGAAUGGAUAAGCGCUGAAAGCAUCUAAGCGCGAAGCCAACUUCAAGAUAAGAUUUCCCACCGCAAGGGUAAGACCCCAGAAAGACUAUCUGGUUGAUAGGUCGAAGGUGUAAGUGCAGCAAUGUAUUUAGCUUAUCGAUACUAAUAGGUCGAGGACUUGACCAA
rnacentral:rRNA from 1 species